GUAGGUGGCAAGCGUUGUCCGGAAUUAUUGGGCGUAAAGCGCGCGCAGGCGGUCCUUUAAGUCUGAUGUGAAAGCCCACGGCUCAACCGUGGAGGGUCAUUGGAAACUGGGGGACUUGAGUACAGAAGAGGAAAGCGGAAUUCCAAGUGUAGCGGUGAAAUGCGUAGAGAUUUGGAGGAACACCAGUGGCGAAGGCGGCUUUCUGGUCUGUAACUGACGCUGAGGCGCGAAAGCGUGGGGAGCAAGCAGGGAUUAGAUACCCUGGUAGUCCACGCCGUAAACGAUGAGUGCUAAGUGUUAGGGGGUUUCCGCCCCCUUAGUGCUGCAGCUAACGCAUUAAGCACUCCGCCUGGGGAGUACGGCCGCAAGGCUG
rnacentral:rRNA from 1 species